CCGCUCAGAGGUAAACGGGUGGAGUUGAACUGCGAACCCUGAGAAUUCAACUGGUGAGUGUGGUAUGAGCUUGGCAUGAAGGUUGGCUCUGCGGGUCUGCUUAGCUGCAGGUCUUCGCCUUUUGGUGGAGAUGCGCGAUACACUUGUCAAGUGGUGCGCGCUCGUUGAGUUUCUCGGACAUACUUGCCAGUGCACUUUCUCGGGGUGUUCACCACGACCGGCGCCGCUACUUGUCCAAUAUGGUUAAACCGGUCUUGCUUGGUCCCUGUGGCUUUGCUUGAUCGGGAUGGCAGGUAACUCGUUGACUUGUGUGUUGACCUCGGUUGGCAUGCGCUUGGUUUUCGAGUGUAAUCAGCUGACUGUAUUGGUGCUAUGUGGUGCGUCGGAGACGGCGGCUUGUGGUGUGUGCCUGCGUGCCUAUUUGCUGACGGAACCGGGUUUGGUUAUUAUGUUGCCUGUUUUGCAGGCCUGGUGAUGGCUCGGUUUCGCUUGGUGGAUGGGAGCGUGGGUGACACUUAUCAGGGCCUAUAGUCUGUGGUGUUGUGGUAGACUAUCCACCUGACCCGUCUUGAAACACGGACCAAGGAGAGUAACAUGUGCGCGAGUCAUGGGGUGUUACGAAACCCAAAGGCGAAGUGAAAGUAAAGACUUGACUUGUUCGAGUUGAGGUGAGAUCCUGUCGUUUCUCAUGCGCGGUACUUCCAAGCAUUCGAGCGAUGGGCGCAUCACCGGCCCGUCCCAUGGUGUGGUCACUGUCUUCGGAUUGGUGCGUCACCGGGGCGGAGCAUGAGCGCACAUGUUGAGACCCGAAAGAUGGUGAACUAUGCUUGCGCAGGUUGAAGCCAGAGGAAACUCUGGUGGAGGACCGUAGCGAUUCUGACGUGCAAAUCGAUCGUCAAACGUGAGUAUAGGGGCGAAAGA
rnacentral:rRNA from 1 species